rnacentral:misc_RNA from 1 species
AAUUCUCAACCUCUCUAGUUUUUAUUAACUAGUAGAUGGCUUGGAUGUGGGGGUUAUUUUGCCGGCUUUCACAAGUCAGCUCCCCUUAAAUGUAUUAGCCGGUGCCCUCUAACCGUCUAUUGGUGUGAUAAUUAUCUACGCCGUGGACUAUUAGACUUGGUUGCAUUGCUUCUAAUCGUCCUUUAUGGACAACAUAAUGACA